rnacentral:precursor_RNA from 1 species
CUUGGCACUGGGAGAAUUCACAGGAGUUCUGAAUAUACCCGUGAAUUUCCUGAUGCCUUAGC